GGCUAUGUAGCUCAGUUGGUUAGAGCGCGGCACUCAUAAUGCUGAGGUCAUUGGUUCAAUUCCAAUCAUAGCUACCA
rnacentral:tRNA from 1 species